rfam:Ciona savignyi cont_34907, whole genome shotgun sequence.
GCAUUGGUGGUUCAGUGGUAGAAUCCUCGCCUGCCACGCCGGGGGCCCGGGUUCGAUUCCCGGCCAAUGCA